CUACGUAGGUGGCAAGCGUUGUCCGGAAUUAUUGGGCGUAAAGCGCGCGCAGGCGGUUCCUUAAGUCUGAUGUGAAAGCCCCCGGCUCAACCGGGGAGGGUCAUUGGAAACUGGGGAACUUGAGUGCAGAAGAGGAGAGCGGAAUUCCACGUGUAGCGGUGAAAUGCGUAGAGAUGUGGAGGAACACCAGUGGCGAAGGCGGCUCUCUGGUCUGUAACUGACGCUGAGGCGCGAAAGCGUGGGGAGCGAACAGGAUUAGAUACCCUGGUAGUCCACGCCGUAAACGAUGAGUGCUAAGUGUUAGAGGGUUUCCGCCCUUUAGUGCUGCAGCAAACGCGUUAAGCACUCCGCCUGGGGAGUACGGCCGCAAGGCCGAA
rnacentral:rRNA from 1 species